rnacentral:rRNA from 1 species
CCCCUAGAUGUUCUGGGCCGCACGCGCGCUACACUGACGAAUGCAACGAGCUUAUAACCUUGGCCGAAAGGUCUGGGUAAUCUCCAAAUUUCGUCGUGAUGGGGAUAGAUUAUUGCAAUUAUUAAUCUUCAACGAGGAAUGCCUAGUAAGCGCAAGUCAUCAGCUUGCGUUGAUUACGUCCCUGCCCUUUGUACACACCGCCCGUCGCUCCUACCGAUUGAAUGGUCCGGUGAAGCGUUCGGACCGCUUCCUUUGGACGGGCAACCGUCUGUUGGUCGUGGGAAGUUCGUUAAACCUUAUCAUUUAGAGGAAGGAGAAGUCGUAACA